UUGGAGGGCAAGUCUGGUGCCAGCAGCCGCGGUAAUUCCAGCUCCAAUAGCGUAUAUUAAAGUUGUUGCGGUUAAAAAGCUCGUAGUUGAAUUUCGGGAUCAAUACGUCGGUCGUGCCUCUGGUAUGAACUGGUGUUAUUGAUUCCUCCUUUCUGAUAAACCAUGAUGUCAUUAAUUUGGUGUUGUGGGGAGUCAGGACUGUUACUUUGAAAAAAUUAGAGUGUUUAAAGCAGGCCUACGCUUGAAUACAUUAGCAUGGAAUAAUGAAAUAGGACGUUCGAACCUAUUUUGUUGGUUUCUAGGAUCAACGUAAUGAUUAAUAGGGAUAGUUGGGGGCAUUAGUAUUCAAUUGUCAGAGGUGAAAUUCUUGGAUUUAUUGAAGACUAACUACUGCGAAAGCAUUUGCCAAGGAUGUUUUCAUUAAUCAAGAACGAAAGUUAGGGGAUCGAAGACGAUCAGAUACCGUCGUAGUCUUAACCAUAAACUAUGCCGACUAGGGAUCGGAUGAUGUUAAUUUUUUAAUGACUCAUUCGGCGCCUUACGGGAAAC
rnacentral:rRNA from 1 species